rnacentral:rRNA from 1 species
GACGAACGCUGGCGGCGUGCUUAACACAUGCAAGUCGAACGGUGAAAGCGGAGCUUGCUCCGCUGGAUCAGUGGCGAACGGGUGAGUAACACGUGGGCAACCUGCCCCUGACUUCGGGAUAACUCCGGGAAACCGGGGCUAAUACCGGAUAAACUUUUGAACCGCAUGGUUCGAAAUUGAAAGGCGGCUUCGGCUGUCACCUAUGGAUGGACCCGCGUCGCAUUAGCUAGUUGGUGAGGUAACGGCUCACCAAGGCAACGGUGCGUAGCCGACCUGAGAGGGUGAUCGGCCACACUGGGACUGAGACACGGCCCAGACUCCUACGGGAGGCAGCAGUAGGGAAUCUUCCGCAAUGGACGAAAGUCUGACGGAGCAACGCCGCGUGAGUGAUGAAGGCUUUCGGGUCGUAAAACUCUGUUGUUAGGGAAGAACAAGUGCUAGUUGAAUAAGCUGGCACCUUGACGGUACCUACCAGAAAGCCACGGCUAACUACGUGCCAGCCGCCGCUGUAA